rnacentral:rRNA from 1 species
AGCGGCGGACGGGUGAGUAACACGUGGGCAACCUGCCCGCAAGACCGGGAUAACUCCGGGAAACCGGAGCUAAUACCGGAUAACACCGAAGACCGCAUGGUCUUCGGUUGAAAGGCGGCCUUUGGGCUGUCACUUGCGGAUGGGCCCGCGGCGCAUUAGCUAGUUGGUGAGGUAACGGCUCACCAAGGCGACGAUGCGUAGUCGGCCUGAGAGGGUGACCGGCCACACUGGGACUGAGACACGGCCCAGACUCCUACGGGAGGCAGCAGUAGGGAAUCUUCCGCAAUGGGCGAAAGCCUGACGGAGCGACGCCGCGUGAGCGAAGAAGGCCUUCGGGUCGUAAAGCUCUGUUGUGAGGGACGAAGGAGCGCCGUUCGAAGAGGGCGGCGCGGUGACGGUACCUCACGAGAAAGCCCCGGCUAACUACGUGCCANCAGCCGCGGUAAUACGUAGGGGGCGAGCGUUGUCCGAAAUUAUCGGGCGUAAAGCGCGCGCAGGCGGUCUCUUAAGUCUGAUGUGAAAGCCCACGGCUCAACCGUGGAGGGUCAUUGGAAACUGGGGGACUUGAGGGCAGGAGAGGAGAGCGGAAUUCCACGUGUANCGGUGANNUGCGUANAGAUGUGNANGAACACCAGUGGCGAAAGGCGGCUCUCUGGCCUGC